GCACUGGGUAGCUCAGCUGGUUAGAGCAUGGUGCUGAUAAUGCCAAGGUUGCAGGUUCGAUCCCUGUACAGGGCA